rnacentral:rRNA from 1 species
GAGGAAUAUUGGUCAAUGGGCGCGAGCCUGAACCAGCCAAGUAGCGUGCAGGAUGACGGCCCUAUGGGUUGUAAACUGCUUUUGUAUGGGGAUAAAGUCAAUCACGUGUGAUUGUUUGCAGGUACCAUACGAAUAAGGACCGGCUAAUUCCGUGCCAGCAGCCGCGGUAAUACGGAAGGUCCGGGCGUUAUCCGGAUUUAUUGGGUUUAAAGGGAGCGUAGGCCGUGGAUUAAGCGUGUUGUGAAAUGUAGACGCUCAACGUCUGAAUUGCAGCGCGAACUGGUUCACUUGAGUAUGCACAACGUAGGCGGAAUUCGCCGUGUAGCGGUGAAAUGCUUAGAUAUGACGAAGAACUCCGAUUGCGAAGGCAGCUGACGGGAGCGCAACUGACGCUUAAGCUCGAAGGUGCGGGUAUCGAACAGGAUUAGAUACCCUGGUAGUCCGCACAGUAAACGAUGGAUGCCCGCUGUUGGUACCUGGUAUCAGCGGCUAAGCGAAAGCAUUAAGCAUCCCACCUGGGGAGUACGCCGGCAACGGUG